GACGAACGCUGGCGGCGUGCUUAACACAUGCAAGUCGAACGGAAAGGCCCUGCUUUUGUGGGGUGCUCGAGUGGCGAACGGGUGAGUAACACGUGAGUAACCUGCCCUUGACUUUGGGAUAACUUCAGGAAACUGGGGCUAAUACCGGAUAGGAGCUCCUGCUGCAUGGUGGGGGUUGGAAAGUUUCGGCGGUUGGGGAUGGACUCGCGGCUUAUCAGCUUGUUGGUGGGGUAGUGGCUUACCAAGGCUUUGACGGGUAGCCGGCCUGAGAGGGUGGCCGGCCACAUUGGGACUGAGAUACGGCCCAGACUCCUACGGGAGGCAGCAGUGGGGAAUAUUGCACAAUGGGCGGAAGCCUGAUGCAGCAACGCCGCGUGCGGGAUGACGGCCUUCGGGUUGUAAACCGCUUUCGCCUGUGACGAAGCGUGAGUGACAGUAAUGGGUAAAGAAGCACCGGCUAACUACGUG
rnacentral:rRNA from 1 species